rnacentral:rRNA from 1 species
AUGGCGACCGCCGCCGGCCCCGUCGGCGGGCUGUCGGCGAAGGACGAGAUUAGGGAGGUGGAGAUGGAGAUCAUGAACCCGCCGGAGGAGGCGGCGGAGCGGGCCGGGCUGAAGAGGGCCUGGGGCUCCGCGAGCGCCGGCGCUUCUCAUGGUUUUAUUGGAGUGACUACUGCUGAAAAGAAGCCAACACUCCUGCCUCAUAACAAUGUCAAAUAUCUGAAGAAAACUGGCAGUGGCAAUCUUCUACGUUCGGAUAUGCCAGAUACUAAUGCUUGGAGAUUUAGUAGCUCAUCUCCUGGUGGAGAUCUGGGGAGCAAAACCAGAACCCCUACGAGUACCUUUAAUGCUCAAGGAAAGAAUUGCACUUCUCCUCAUGAAAGAGAGGGUUCUGGUUUUGGUAACCUGUGGAGUCAAGAAGAAAAUGCUGGUUCACUCACAUCAGUUGGUUAUGGGAAACAUAGAGGCUCUGAAGAAGGAUUUGAAGCACAAUGUGUAUCCAACUUGAAUGAUCUGCACAACUAUGGGCGAUAUAGGACCCUCAUUCAUUCUUAUGGCGAAGAUAAUAGGGGGCUGGCUCAUAACUCGCCCAACCUAAAUAUUUCGGAGAGGUCUUGCAGAACUGAUAAUUUAUGGACUACAAAGCCUACCCCUCCUGUAAAUGAGCUGGUGCAGAUCUCAGUUCAAGGGAAAAACCACAAACCUAGUCUCAUGGGACGCCAUAUUAGUUUGCCCUCUGAUAGCUACUUGGAUGGCAGGGGAACCUUAAGUAGAUUGCAUUUAGAUGGAGAAAAUCUGUUGCCGGAUCUGAAUGUGGCCAAAGCAAGCAGCCUAAGUGAUUCUCAUGUCUCUGAUUAUUGGCAUCGGCCAUUUGACUCAUCUGUUUCAUUUGACUAUCCCCAGUAUGGUGAGAAGCGAUCUGUUUAUGGUGGACCAACAGAAAAUCUUCCUCACAAACAUCAGAAAGAACAUAGUUCAAGCUUUGCCUCAUACGGCUCAAACAGUAUAACAGGGUUCAGAAGUCCAGGCUACAAUAGCUCUGCUCAUUCCUUGGGUAGCCAACCUUCUCGAGCAAUUACUCACCUAGGAAUGCCGUCCCCUCAUCAGUUAACACCUGGUAUUGAGAAAUUUGGUCUCCAUAAAGAUGUAUAUUUUGACAAGGGCUGUGGUACAUCUAGGCUUGGGUUACGUGCAAGCAGUUCAUGCCAACCUGAGCACCUUUCCCCAAUCAAGGAUGACCCUUGGGUAACUUCAGUGCCUUUUGUACCUCUUGUUGAGUUUCCCAACAGUACAUCACCUUCAAAUAGUCCAUAUGACCCACUUGCUGACAGUAUGGACCCUCCCAAAGUUGAAAGUGGCAAUAUUCUCAAGUCCUCCAACAUAUCCUGCAGCAUUUCAAGUCAGCACACUGCUGGGAAUGGUGUUAUAUAUGGAGAUAUCAACAAAUCAUUGAUUUAUGCUGAUAAGUUGGCAAGGAAUAUGUCGGCAAAAGGGUCAAAUGAGUUUGCAGGCUUGGUUGCACCUGUUAAGGAACGCUCUAGUCUGGAUGUCGAUACUUUGGUGAAAGCUUUUGAAAGAACCAAAGAUGGAGCAAUUGAUGAGAAAACGAGGGAUUAUUUCCGUAUUCAUUUGGCAGAACAUGUGAAGGAGUUGCUGAAACCUAUUUGGAAGGAAGGCAAACUGAGUAAAGAUGCUCAUAAACUGAUAGUAAAAAAAUCUGUUGACAAAGUUCUUGCUUCAGUUGAUCUGCAUCAAGUACCAGCUACUAAAGAAUUGAUAACUGAUUAUAUAACCAUGUCUGGAACAAAGAUUGAAAAGCUUGUGAAGGCAUAUGUUGAUAGGCAUGGUACAAGAUGA